rnacentral:rRNA from 1 species
AUGCAUCCUGGCGCAGGUGGUGGUGCGCCGGGGCACGUGCGCGCGGCGGCCAGGGCCACCCUCAUCCUCGGCUUGGCGGUGGCCGCCAUGGGCCUCUUCGCCGCCACCCUCAACCCCGGCGACUUCCACGCCCAGCUGUCGCAGGUCGAGCACGCGGCGGCGCCGGCCGCGUACGGCGGGCAGCCCCAGCAGCGCUGCGCGGCCACGGAGGCGGAGGCGCUGGACCUGCGCGCCACGGCGCUCGUGCUGGUGCUCACGGGGGCGGCGCAGGCGAUGCUGGCCGCGGCAGCCGGCGUGGCCUUGGCGGCGGGGUCCCCGUCCCUCCAAUGUCUAGGCCGGUUCCUCGCCCUCAUCGCGCACUGCUUCGUCCCCACGAACGCCUGGUUCCUCUACUCUGUCCUCCAGGGAGCGGCGGCCGUUGCCGUCGGGCACUGCGCCAGCGGGUACAGCCUCAACUUCACCACCGGCUGCGUCCUCGCCGCCGUGUCAUACGGCGUGCUGUUCGUCGUGAGCCUCUUAGCCACCGUCUGCGGAGGGAUCAAGCUACGCAUGGCUGCCACUGAUCCCCUCUAA